ensembl:lncRNA
CGACAGGUGAUUCAGACCAAGGUAGAUGACUACCUGUGCACGUAUAACUGAGUCACAUACCUCACCUGUGAAAAGGUAGUUAAACUUGGAGGUGUUGAAGAGAUGGAGGCGCUUACACCUUUUCUCAGGUGAUUCAAACGUAGCUUACCUUUUGCACAGGUAACGGAGAGUGCCGCCUGUGUGUCGACAUUCACACAGGGUCACCUAGAGUGGCGUCUGCCUGUUUAUUGCCUUCUUCCUCGCGUACCCCGCCGGAUCAAUCUAUAGAAUUGCUACCCCCACCUGCGUCCAGGUAACUACAACAGGUCUCUAGAAGUACAUCUGUGUGCAGGUGAUUGAUUGAGCCACAGCUCUGGGAGAGCAGGUGUAUGUAUGCAGAUGAUCUGUAAUACUGUGUCAACAUGUUCAUUAUUAAACUCCAUUCACUCACUAACUGAGGCAGGUUUGGUUUAUUGUGUGAAAAAAAAGAUGGUUUUACAUUAAUAAUGUUGUCAUUAAUGCUUUCAGUGUUGGUAUUGCAUUUCCCCAACAUACACAUUUUCAUAAGUUGCCUCUGGAACACACAUUUCUAGAUGACUUUAAUACGAUCAACGGUGAUUUAAAACACACUUCUAGAUCACUUUAAUACGUUCAGCUGUGAUUUAAAACACACUUCUGUCACUUUAAUAGGUUCAGCGGUGAUUUAAAAACACACUUCUAGAUCACUUUAAAAGUAACAGUAUGUAGCAAUUGUACUUCAGGG